GAUGAACGCUAGCGGGAGGCUUAACACAUGCAAGUCGAGGGGCAGCAUAGGGUAGCAAUACUCUGAUGGCGACCGGCAAACGGGUGAGUAACGCGUAUGCAACCUACCCUGUACAGGGGGAUAACCCGGAGAAAUUCGGACUAAUAUCCCGUAAUAAUAUCCGGAGGCAUCUUUGGAUAUUUAAAGUUUCGACGGUACGGGAUGGGCAUGCGUAACAUUAGCUGGUUGGUAAGGUAACGGCUUACCAAGGCUAUGAUGUUUAGGGGUCCUGAGAGGGUGGUCCCCCACACUGGUACUGAGACACGGACCAGACUCCUACGGGAGGCAGCAGUGAGGAAUAUUGGUCAAUGGGCGCAAGCCUGAACCAGCCAUCCCGCGUGCAGGAAGACGGCCCUAUGGGUUGUAAACUGCUUUUCCAGGGAGAGAAACUUACGCACGUGUUGCGUGACUGACGGUACCCUGGGAAUAGACAUCGGCUAACUCCGUGCCAGCAGCCGCGGUAAAGAUAGUACA
rnacentral:rRNA from 1 species